rnacentral:lncRNA from 1 species
CUUUCAGAUCUGUAGCAAUUCUCCAUUUUGUACAAAAAAGCAUAUCUGUUUAUUUUAAAAAAAAAGAGGAAGAAGAAGAAGCAGCAGCGCCUGUUGGAGCUCGGAGGCGGUGCGGUUGCUGCGGGGCGAAGUCGUAGGCGGCGGCGGAACGACGGGAACGGCUGGGCGACUGAGCAAGGGUCUCGAAUCUGGGAACGAUUGGCGAGGGUCGCGACGUCACGGAGACGGGAACGGCGGGCGGGCGAGGGUCGCAGACUGGGGAGGCUGGGAACGACGGCGACGCGCCGACGCUGGGCUGGCGAGGGGCAAGGGGCGACGGCGAGUGGGGCGGCCGGCCGGGGCUGGACUCUGGAGUGAGAGCCGAGAGGAGGGCCGGCGGACUGGGAGUUCAGUUUGGGAGGGAUGAAUUGAUUGGGAUGGAUGAAUUGAUUUGGGAAUUGGGAGGGAAUCGAGGGAUGA